rnacentral:rRNA from 1 species
GACGAACGCUGGCGGCGUGCUUAACACAUGCAAGUCGAACGGAAAGGCCUCUUUCGGGGGGUACUCGAGUGGCGAACGGGUGAGUAACACGUGAGUAACCUGCCCUUGACUUUGGGAUAACUUCAGGAAACUGGGGCUAAUACCGGAUAGGAGCUCCUGCUGCAUGGUGGGGGUUGGAAAGUUUCGGCGGUUGGGGAUGGACUCGCGGCUUAUCAGCUUGUUGGUGGGGUAGUGGCUUACCAAGGCUUUGACGGGUAGCCGGCCUGAGAGGGUGACCGGCCACAUUGGGACUGAGAUACGGCACAGACUCCUACGGGAGGCAGCAGGGGGGAAGAUUGCACAAUGGGUGGAAGCCUGAUGCAGCAACGCCGUGGGCGGGAGGACGGCCUUCGGGUUGUAAACCGCUUUCGCUCAUGACGAAGCUUUGUGUGACGGUAGUGGGUAAAGAAGCACCGGCUAACUACGUG